CCUACGGGAGGCAGCAGUGGGGAAUUUUGGACAAUGGGGGCAACCCUGAUCCAGCAAUGCCGCGUGAGUGAAGAAGGCCCUCGGGUUGUAAAGCUCUUUUGUCAGGGAAGAAACGGUGGUUCCUAAUACGAGCUGCUAAUGACGGUACCUGAAGAAUAAGCACCGGCUAACUACGUGCCAGCAGCCGCGGUAAUACGUAGGGUGCAAGCGUUAAUCGGAAUUACUGGGCGUAAAGCGUGCGCAGACGGUUAUAUAAGACAGAGGUGAAAUCCCCGGGCUCAACCUGGGAACUGCCUUUGUGACUGUAUGGCUAGAGUGUGUCAGAGGGGGGUAGAAUUCCACGUGUAGCAGUGAAAUGCGUAGAUAUGUGGAGGAAUACCGAUGGCGAAGGCAGCCCCCUGGGAUAACACUGACGCUCAUGCACGAAAGCGUGGGGAGCAAACAGGAUUAGAUACCCUGGUAGUCCACGCCCUAAACGAUGUCUACUAGUUGUCGGGACUUAAUUGUCUUGGUAACGCAGCUAACGCGUGAAGUAGACCGCCUGGGGAGUACGGUCGCAAGNUUAAAACUCAAAUGAAAUUGACGG
rnacentral:rRNA from 1 species